rnacentral:rRNA from 1 species
AUUGAACGCUGGCGGCAGGCCUAACACAUGCAAGUCGAACGAGUGGCGGACGGGUGAGUAAUGCUUGGGAAUCUGGCUUAUGGCGGGGGAUCACGACGGGACACUGUCGCUAAUAGCGCAUACCAUAGUGUGAGCACAAGGGGGAUUGGGGAGUGGGAGGGGUAAUGGCAUACCAAGCCGACGAUCUCUCGCUGGUCUGAGGGGAGUACCGGCCAAAUCGGGACUGAGACACGGCCAGGACUCUUACGGGAGGCACCAGUGGGAAAUAUUGCGCAAGGGCGGCAAUCUGGACGCAGACAGGCCGCGUGAAUGAAGAAGGCCUUCGGGUUGUAAAGUUCUUUCGGUGACGAGGCGGUACCCAAAGAGAAAGCACCGGCUAACUCCGUGCCAGCCGCCGCGGUAAUAC